UACAGAGGUGGCAAGCGUUGUUCGGAAUUACUGGGCGUAAAGGGCGCGUAGGCGGUCCGAUAAGUCCCGUGUGAAAGCCCCCGGCUCAACUGGGGAACUGCACGGGAAACUGACGGACUUGAGUUCGGGAGAGGGAAGCGGAAUUCCGGGUGUAGCGGUGAAAUGCGUAGAUAUCCGGAGGAACACCGGUGGCGAAGGCGGCUUCCUGGACCGACACUGACGCUGAGGCGCGAAAGCUAGGGGAGCAAACGGGAUUAGAUACCCCGGUAGUCCUAGCUGUAAACGAUGAGCGCUGGGUGUAGGGGGUGUUAACCCCUCCUGUGCCGAAGCUAACGCAUUAAGCGCUCCGCCUGGGGAGUACGGUCGCAAGGCUGAA
rnacentral:rRNA from 1 species